rnacentral:rRNA from 1 species
UGCAGUCGAGCGCAGUCCUUCGGGACCGAGCGGCGGACGGGUUAGUAACGCGUGGGAAUAUACCCAGAUCUAAGGAAUAGCCUCGGGAAACUGAGAGUAAUACCUUAUACGCCCUUCGGGGGAAAGAUUUAUCGGAGAAGGAUUAGCCCGCGUAAGAUUAGAUAGUUGGUGGGGUAAUGGCCUACCAAGUCUACGAUCUUUAGCUGGUUUUAGAGGAUGAUCAGCAACACUGGGACUGAGACACGGCCCAGACUCCUACGGGAGGCAGCAGUGGGGAAUCUUAGACAAUGGGCGAAAGCCUGAUCUAGCCAUGCCGCGUGUGUGAUGAAGGCCCUAGGGUCGUAAAGCACUUUCGCCAGAGAUGAUAAUGACAGUAUCUGGUAAAGAAACCCCGGCUAACUCCGUGCCAGCAGCCGCGGUAAUACGGAGGGGGUUAGCGUUGUUCGGAAUUACUGGGCGUAAAGCGUACGUAGGCGGAUUAGUAAGUUAGGGGUGAAAUCCCGAGGCUCAACCUCGGAACUGCCUCUAAAACUGCUAGUCUUGAGUUCGAGAGAGGUGAGUGGAAUUCCGAGUGUAGAGGUGAAAUUCGUAGAUAUUCGGAGGAACACCAGUGGCGAAGGCGGCUCA